AAGGGAAGAAAUUAAUAUUACUAAUAAUAAUAUUAACUGACAUUACCUACAAAAGAAGUACCGGCUAACUCCGUGCCAGCAGCCGCGGUAAUACGGAGGGUGCUAGCGUUAAUCGGAAUUAUUGGGCGUAAAGGGUGAGUAGGUGGUUUUAUAAGUCAGAUGUGAAAUCUUUAAGCUCAACUUAAAAACUGCAUUUGAAACUAUAUUACUAGAGUUUCAUAGAGGGGGGUAGAAUUCCAGGUGUAGCGGUGAAAUGCGUAGAUAUCUGGAGGAAUAUCAGUGGCGAAGGCGACCCCCUGGAUGAAAACUGACACUGAGUCACGAAAGCAUGGGUAGCAAACAGGAUUAGAUACCCUGGUAGUCCAUGCUGUAAACGAUGUCGAUUUGAAGAUUGUAAUUUUAUUAUAAUUUUCGUAGCUAACGCGUUAAAUCGACCGCCUGGGGAGUACGACCGCAAGGUUAAAACUCAAAUGAAUUGACGGGGGCCCGCACAAGCGGUGGAGCAUGUGGUUUAAUUCGAUACAACGCGAAAAACCUUACCUGCUCUUGACAUCCAAAGAAUGAAAUAGAAAUAUUUUAGUGUCCUUAUUUUUUAAGGAAACUUUGAGACAGGUGCUGCAUGGCUGUCGUCAGCUCGUGUUGUGAAAUGUUGGGUUAAGUCCCGCAACGAGCGCAACCCUUAUCCUUUAUUGCCAGCGAGUUAAGUCGGGAACUUAAAGGAAACUGCCGAUGAUAAAUCGGAGGAAGGAGAGGUCGACGUC
rnacentral:rRNA from 1 species